GCCGAACCAAGGCUUUAUUAAGAGAGUUUGCCAUAGGUCAUACUAGCUACUUAAUAGCAGGUAACCUGACAACUUUUGUUGCUCCCAUAGGUGUACUAAGGAACACAUGUUUUUUCUCGCCAUUUUCCCCUCGUGUUUUCAUUUCUCUUUCUCUCCUGUUUGGUUGGGUAGGAGCAGGCAGGACUAAUAUGUAAGAGAACCUCUGUAUACAAACAUGUCGUAUCGAAUGCCGCGGAGAGGAACUUCUAGUUAAAUCUUGUGUUGUGGAUGUGACUUGUGAUGGUGUAUACUUUCUCCCAUUACGGAAGUAUAUAUUAAAGCGUUAACUGAUUUACUAAUAUGAACACAUACUUCAUAAUCGUUACUGCGCCUCCACUACCUAUUUCCUCUGGUCACCGGACUUCCAUUGGCGACCACCACCAUCACACCGGCCAUUGACUGGUGGCCAGAGUCAGUCCACCAUUGAAAGCACAAUGAAUAGAAUUAAAAGAACGCAAAGCUCGGGAAAACUCUCAGGCAAUCUCAUUAUGCAUCAAAAUCAAACUCAAUACCUAACGAAACAACAUACCUUGCACAAAUCAAAUCAUGACGUGCCUUCAGAUUGAACAAAAACCAAGGUCAUCUCUUCAUCACAUCUCACACACUUUUUAUCGAACUAGUUGUACCUUCAUACCAUGAUUCAUAGCUAAAAAUAACAGGACCUGACACAAGAUUUUUCGUGAUUAGAGUGUCGAAACUCAAAUAGAGCAAAUUCCAAACUUGACAAAGCAUAUGCUGUUUGGACCAUUUUUUUUAUUUUUAUUUUUAUUUUUUGGUGUCAUACUCUAAAUUGUCAUGGAGGCACGAGGUUUUGGGCGACGAUCAAGGGUUUUUAACUGGCGUUUGCCUUUGUUGAUGCAAUAAUUGGCAAAUUUAAUGAUGUUAAUUUCUUUAGAUGAGUCCGCGUUUUUUGUUAAAAAAUGAAAAAAGAACAAGGUAGUUAGGAUUCACUCGUGCAUCUCGGCGGAUUGGGGUUUCUCGGUUUUGCUGUUUUUGAGGCACUCGCAGCUCGUUCAAUUCUGCUUCGCCGGCUUUGUGAUCAGCAGUUUGUUUCGUUGAACACUCGAUUGUGACUGAUAAUCGAUCGCUCCUUGCUAAGGUAAAAGCUCUCUGUUCCUUUUUAAGUUUAUGCGUGUGAUAUAGAAACCGAGAGCUUUGUUGUUGCUAGCUUGUAAAUUGUUCAUGUCUGAGACUAUAUGAAUGACUUCGAUUCAGUCUUGAUGAUCUCAUACUGAUUGGUUGUGAUUCUCACUAUCUGAUUGCUCCAUUGUGCCUUUUAAUCAAAUGGUGAAAUGCCUGAGCCAUUCUAGUAUAAAUAUGACUCUGAAUCUGACUUGGAUCAUCUUGUCUGCUUGAAUGAUUGGCCAUGCCAGUUGUAUAGGUUGAGUAAAUCUAAUUGACAUUCGCUUUUGACCCGAAGGUCUCAAUCUUGAUAAGCUUCCGGUACUCUGCAAUAAGCUCGACUCUGUGAAAUUAGCUAAAAAUGUUGUGCUGUAUUGUAAAUGCUUGUUGAUGGUCGCUCCUGCAUUCACGAAGGGUUGACUAAGUAGACUAAUACAUUGGAGAGCAGAUCACAUCUACUGUACAUAUCUCUUCUGAUACUGGAUCAUGUCUUUCUCUGUGAGUGAAUAUGAAUGUGUUUAGUGGAUGGAUAUAAAAUGCAAUGCAAAUGUGUGUUUGCUUUCAUACUGGAAUUUGGUCGUUGCCUGCUGGUCAUGUGUUAUCUAAUGAUGCUGAGGUUAUUACUUGGAGCUAAUGCACGAAUAUUCUUGUUGGUGCUAGAUUAGUUUAUGUUCAAUUGAAGCUUCGUUAAACACUCGGUUCAAUGGGUAAAUGUAGAAAAUGGAGACUGUCGAUGAGUAGGUUGAUGAUGCAUUUCCACUGGGGAUGAGUGUAUGGGCUUGGGCUGUUAGAAGGUUGUUGGCUGUUGGUUGUUACUCGUUGAGAGGAGACUUGAUGGAUUUGUGUAAUUUCGGGAUUGCUUUGGUUGUUUGUGACGGUAUAUAUGCAUAUAGUUGAUCCUUCGCCAUUUUUAUAUAGUUUAGUGUCAUUUUUCAUGCAUAAAUAGGAUCAUAUGCUGUGCAAAUCUCAGGGCCAGCAAGCAUUAGUCCUCUUUUCAGUCGCAUAAUGGCCAUAACCCUUAGUUGGCUCCUUUAUGUCAUCGAGUCAUUUCAUAUUUGCAUAUUUUCUCUUUACAUGUCAUUUGGAGGUUACUUACUAACUCAAGUGUUGACACAUAGAUUCACGUAUUAAAUUUCAUUAUUUUUCAUUAGCAAAAUUUCUUUUUUCAUAAUUUUCUGAAAUUCAAAUGAUGUUUAAAAUUUUGGCACUUGCUUUCUUUUAAACGUAAACUGACAUGAUCUUAUUCUUUGAUCCAUUAAGGGCGCGUUUGGUAAUGAUUCUGUUCCCGGGAGUAGAUUCUGAUCAGAACUGAUUCUUUUUUAUUCUGUUCCCAGGAACUGAUUCUAAGCAUUUUAGGCCGUUUGGUAACUGUCCAAAAUUUUUGAUUCUGGAAUAGAAUUGCGUUUGGUACCGUGUUCAUUAAUUCUGUUCCAACUUUAUUUCUUUUAAUUUUUAAAUAAUUUUUUUACUUUUUUACUUUUUUUUCUUUUCUUUUUUUCAUUUCUUUUUUUCAUUUUUUUCUUUUCUUUUUCCUUUUUUUUUUCUUUUUUUUCCUUUUUUCUUUUCUUUUUCUCAUCUUCUUCUUCUUCUUCUGGUCGGUUGCCGGACCGGCGACCAGCAAGACGAGGGCCGGCGACCUCACCGGAGCAUCGCCAGCCCUCGGCGAGGCUGGUCCUCGUCGGCCGAGCCUCGCCGGCAGCUGGGCGAGGCUCGCCUAGCCCCGACGAGGCUCGCCUAGCCAGAUCUGGCGAGGCCGAGCCCCGCCGGUGGCUAGGCCGGCCUCAUCGAGGUUGGGCGAGGCCUGCCAGGCCACCGGCGGGGCUGGGCGAGCCUCGCCUGGCCACCGGUGGGGCUGGGUGUCGCGAGGCUUGCCCAGCCCCUACCCAGCCCCGGCGAGGCCCGCGCCUCGCCAGAUCUAGGGAGGCCGAGCCUCGCGUGCUGGGCUUGCCUNNNNNNNNNNNNNNNNNNNNNNNNNNNNNNNNNNNNNNNNNNNNNNNNNNNNNNNNNNNNNNNNNNNNNNNNNNNNNNNNNNNNNNNNNNNNNNNNNNNNGAGAAUUUUUUUGAUUUUGAUUCUCAAUUCAUUCCCGGAGCAAGAAUCAACUUUUUUUUUUUAUUCUUGAUUCUAUUCCCAAUCUGUUCCCGGGAACAAAAAUUUUACCAAAGGCAAUUCUAAGCCGAAACUAAUUCCGGGAACAAAGAAUCAGAAUUUGGCCCUGUUUGGAUGGUUACCAAACAGGGCCUAAGUGUGCUAUGCAUGCAAUAUGACCAUCCUUGUGGUGAAAAUGUGGUUUUUACAAGUUUCUAGGGAUGUUUAUUCUGCAACUCUUUUGACCCCUUCCUACGAUUCUUUUAUUCCAACCCUACUUAGCAGGGAAAGGGACGGAUAUACUCUCUAAAUAAUUGACUUCUUAGAAUCUUGUACUGUCUAAUGAGGAAGGAAGGAGGGAUUGUAGGAUUGCUACUUAAUAUUUUUGUUUGAGCUGCAUCUUUUAGAAGUAGAUUUACCUUUAAAUUGUGGUGAAAUGGUGGCUCUGCUGUUUUGGGUAACGAUAGCAUACCGGUAUGAAUAAGAAAAGAGGUCAAAUUUACCUUUAGAAGCACAAUAAGGUGGGGUCGUUUGGGGGAUGCGUGUCAUUGUUUAUAUGCGUGUCAUUGUUUAUUCUUCUUUAUUAUAAAAAAAAGGAAGCUUUGUCUUGGAGCAGGGGUCCAGUAAAAAAAUGGCAACUGGGAGCCUUCUACUAUCACAGCCGCUUCACCUCCUUCAUCUCCUCCUCUUCCUCCUCCUCCUCGCCUUUAUGCUCCCGAAGACCAUCUCCGUGGCCACCGGUGACGACGGCACAGCUUCAUAUUAUGUACCUCCUUAUGAACGUUAGUCCCACCCCCACCAACAAAGAAAAAACAAAAAAGAAAAAAAAGUUUCUCCCAUUCUAAGAUGAAAAGAACUUGCUAUGUUAACUUUCCGUUUUCUUGCCAUUGGUAUAGGGACGGGGUGCUACGGUGAGGGCUCAUCCCAGUUCCCUGAGAGUAACUUCUUCGCGGCUGUGGGUGACAAACUCUGGGACCUGGGGUCAGCGUGCGGCAGGGAGUACGAAGUGCGGUGCAUCAGCGAGGCGCAGUCUGGCCCUGGACCCUGCAAACCCGGCUCCGACACCAUCCGGGUCAAGGUCGUCGACUACGCCCUCUCGGUUAGCUCCUCCGCCGCCGCCCCCAAGCAGUCCGUAACUGGCGCUGAUUUGGUCCUGUCUCAGAUCGCUUUUGAAGCCAUUGCCAAUCCGUCCGUCGAUUCCAUCAAUGUGGAGUUGAAGGAGUAAAGAAAUCCAUUUCUUCUGCUUCUUUUCGUUUAGAAUCCCAUUUCCAUUGAAUUUUUCCCGAUGUAACAGCAGUGAUAAGAGGGACACCCCUGACUCCGAUGGUAGAAUAGAUUUUAAUAUCAUCUUUUGUAUGCGAAACGUGCAGGGUCUGAUUUUUGGUGAUGGCUCAAGGCUUGAGACAGAGAGGCGAAAGGAAAUCAACAGAUGAUAAUGAUAUCAAAUAAAUUCAGACAUGGUUUAUCUGGAAUGCUGGUUGGUUGUGUUGCUUUUUCGUUUUUUCAAAUGUUUGGUGUUUUCAAAUUUAAGAGGAUGAACUCGGCCGGUCUCUUGAGGGUUGAGGGGAAAGAUCGGAGGAUACAUCGGCCGCACUUGAUCCUUGCAAAGAUGUUCACUCUGUCGCUGGUUUUAAGUUUCUACAAGAGGGAAGCCGUACCUGAUCCGCUUUGCCCCCCGUGUCGCCAACUGCCCUUGGACGAAAGGGGUUUGGUCUGAUCAGAGGCUCCAGCGAAUGGUUCAAUUGCUGUUUGAAUCGAAGAAUCUCUUACCGACAAAAGAAGAGCUUGCUGGAAUCCUAUGGUCAAUCUGGAAUGCCCCAUAUGCCUAUAUUUUUCGAUCAAGACAGCCGCAAGCUACCAUGGUCGUAGAUGAAGUUUGUUCAGCGCAAAAAAAUCGACUUUAGGUGUGGAACCCAGAGGCAGAAUCGAAAAUUGAGAGAGAUGGACUCAACUUGUGAAAUGGCUCCCACCAGCGUAUGGAGUGUUGAAAUUCAUCUCGGAUGGCUCGUGGGUGGAAGGGACGAUAGAUGGAGCUGUUGCUGGAAUGUGCCAAAAAAACCUCAACCAAAGUCUAAUCAUACCAAACCAAUCCAAGCCCACCUUUACAAAUCAAACCCAACACCUCGAUCACUUGAAUGCCACCAACCCAACACCUCGAUCACUUCGCCUGAACUUCUGCACCCUUUCUUUUCCAUAUAUACAUAUAUUUCUUUUUAAUUUUUCUUUUUUCUUUUUCUUUUUUAUUUCUCUCUCCUCCCUUGAACUUCUUCGGGUUCUUCUCUCCGCACGCCCGAAGUCAAUUUUGGUUUUCUAUUUCUCUAAUUUUCACUUUUUCUGCAUUUUUCCUAUUUUAUUCUUUUUCUCUUCUUCUCUACGCCUGUCUUCUUCCUCGACGACUCCCCUCUCCUCACCGAACGCUCUCCUACAGCUCCGCUGCGCGAACCAGCGCCACCACUACGACGAGCUCUCACCGGCCUUUGAGGCACCGGAUCCACCUUCCGGCGUCGGUCGUUCGGUCCGACCGGCACCGGUCACCGUAGGCCACUAGAUGGCCGGGGGUUUCUAGUAUCACCGGUGAACACGGUAAACAAGAACACAAAGAAAACAGGCGUUGCUCUCAGCCAAGCCAAACCAAUCAGUUUGUUUCGUCGCAUAUCCCACUUUUACAUUAAAAUUACACACUCAAGCAUAUGGAAUACCGAUUUUGCUGAUGGAAUGUCUUAAGUGCUACUAAAGUUACUGUUUUGCCAAUCUUGCAGUUAAAGGCCUUCAAAGACAGAUGGACAAAGUACAGGUUUUCUCCUGACAAUAAAAUGUUAUUUAUCUUCUCUAAUUUACAAGUCCAAAUUUUGUCAGUGUUACUUUGUGAUUUCUUUUUGUUGGAUUUGUCAGACUCAAGUGGCAGCAGUGGUAAUCAUGGCAUGCAACCGCGCUGAUUAUUUUGAGAGGACCAUUAAGUCUGUCUUGAAGUAUGGCAGAUCUGUUCUUUUAAGUCUUUUUUGUUUUAUGACAACUCUAGACACUUUGUACUGAUCAGUUCUCCUAUUAUUGGAUUCUUGUCAUUUUCCAGGUAUCAGAAUGCUGUUGCUUCAAAGUACCCACUUUUUGUAUCCCAGGUAGUAUACCCUCAGUUCCUGUUCUAGCAAUACAAAUCUAGCUUUCCUUUAUUGCUGGGCUAGCCUUCCCCCCAUCCCCCCUCUCCUUUAAUGUUUUUGUUCUGAGAUAUUUGUAUUUGACCACAAAAUUGUUUCUGUAGGACGGGUCUGAUCCACAAGUUAGAAAGAAGGCCUUGAGUUAUGAUCAGUUAACCUACAUGCAGGUAAGCUGCUGAGGUCUUUCACGUAACAAGUUUCACUCAAUUGUUUCUUUAUUAUCUGAAAAUCAUGAAAUGGAAAAGAGAGAGCUUUUUGUCAUUUGACUAUGUCUAGAUGAAAGUUGUAAUCCUGACCUAGGUUCUUCUGCAGAGAUUUUAGUACUUACCUGUAUAUCUGAAAAAUUACUGGAGUUCAUUGCAGCAUUUGGAUUCUAAGCCGGUGCAAACUGAAAGGCCUGGGGAGUUGAUUGCAUACUAUAAAAUUGCAAGUAAGAUCGAUUUCUUUUGCUAUUGCUAUGAUAGGUUUUUGCCAAUCUCAUGUGUGUUCAUGUCAGGUCAUUACAAAUGGGCUUUGGAUGAAUUAUUCUACAAACAUAAAUUCAGUCGAGUAAUCAUACUUGAAGGUGAAAUAUAUCGUUUUAUGCCUGGUUGCUUUCAUGAAAUAUAUCGUUUUAUGCCGGGUUGCUUUCACAACAUCUAAAAUGAAGUGCCUAUUCACAAUCUUUCACCUGAAUGCAGAUGAUAUGGAGAUUGCGCCUGACUUUUUUGAUUAUUUUGAGGCUGCAGCUGCUCUCAUGGAAAAGGAUAAGUAUGAAAUCUGAAAAUGCGUAAGCUACAAUUGGAUAUUUAAAUUAAAACAUAUAAUAACGAACUGUUAGAAAAUACCUCGAAUCUAAAAAUUAAAAAAAUUAGGCUUUGGCUUGAAUUGUAAGUUCCGUGGAGGAAAAAGCACAUUAUGAACUUUACUGCAAUUUUCCUUGUUCAAAAAAAAAAAAAAAACUUUACUGCAAUUUUCCAUCUCAAACUAUGGCAGGACCAUUAUGGCUGUUUCCUCAUGGAAUGACAAUGGGCUAAAGCAAUUCGUGCAUGAUCCAGGCAAAUUCUCAUAAACUCUGCCUUUUUAGUUUCCCACCAUGAAAUAAGAAAUGAGGUCUAUACCCCAAACAAAAAGGGUCUUUUGCAGUCCAUGAUUCUGAGUGUUAUAUCUUCAUGCAUGUGCAUAAUCUAAUUUCUCUUCUUUUCUGAAUGUGCUCGAAAGCUUUGGAAUUUUACUUGGGAUAAAUGGAUGAUGACCUUACAUAAGUGGCAAAGUUAAGUACUUGCUCACUGCGUGCCACAUGUGAAAAAAUCAUUUGAAGAUGCAGCUGAAGUUAAAUGGCGGGGGAAUGUUUUUAUUGUUUUGGUUGUUAUUUCACCAUGGAUUCAAGUUUGAAGCUUCAUUUAUUCAACUUCACAGCCUUAUCAACCUUUUCUUAACGAAGAUAUGUGUUUCCUUCUCCACAUCUCUCUUUUCUUGUAAUCUCUUAAUACAUUUUGCAGAAAUCCUUUACCGAUCUGAUUUCUUUCCUGGACUUGGAUGGAUGUUGACCAAAUCUACAUGGAAUGAAUUAUCCCCAAAGUGGCCUAAGGCAUAUCCUUAUGGGUUUGAUAUUUGUCGGUUUUAGAUCACAUAUGUUUAUUGUUUAUAUGUCUCCCUAAAUUUUCUUUGACGACCCUUUACUUACUGGGACGACUGGUUAAGGCUACAAGAAAACCACAAAGGUCGUCAAUUUAUUCGGCCAGAAGUGUGCAGAACUUAUAAUUUUGGUGAGCAUGUAAGUGGAUUUUGUACACACGUACUCUGAUUUAUGGUCAUUUCGGUUUUGUACAGUUACUUUACAAGUUUUGCCAGUAUCACCUAGUAUGUAAAUCAAUUUUUGAGUAUUCACAGCUGUGCUCAUGGUAGAGGGUGUAUAAUGGUUUUGUGGCGAAUGUCAUGUCAUGUACCUGCUGGGUUACUUUAAUAUGAAUUCAGCAGUUGUAUGUUGGGUGGCUUGGGAUGAUAUGGGAGAUGAUAGCGCAUGUCAUGUACAACUUUGGCAUUGCAAAGAAUUUGAUUUGACUACUGACUCCUUAUAUGUUUGCAUGUCCAUUGUCUGAGAAGUUGAUACCAUGAAUGUUUAUGACAAUUUUGAUAUUCUCUCAGGGGUCUAGUUUGGGGCAAUUUUUCAGAGAAUAUCUCGAGCCAAUCAAAUUGAAUGAUGUCCAGGUAAUUAAUAUACUACAUAUUGAGCAAAUUUGUUGUAUUUAUGAUUGACCUUGUGUUAUCUUUUGUUUAUGAAGGUUGACUGGAAAUCCAAGGACUUGAGUUACCUGAUGGAGGUAUCUGUUGUGAUUUGAUUCCUGGAAGUGUCUAUGCCUUUUAUUAUUCUCCGACUAAUAAUGUGUCUUAAACUUUUCUCAGGACGAGUAUAUUAGGCAUUUUGCUGCAAUUCUUAAAAAUGCUAAACCUAUUUAUGGAGCUGAUGCUGUUCUGAAGGCCUCUAAUGUACAAGGUGAUGUGCGUGUUCAAUAUAAAGACCAGCCAGAUUUUGAACGCAUUGCCCCGCAAUUUGGUGUCUUUCAGGAAUGGAAGGUUAGCUUAUUUCUUGAUGGGAUUUCUUUUAAGUUUAGUCUGAGGUUUCUUAGGUUUAUGUGGCUAAUAGCACCAACAAGGUAUCCUUUCUCUGCAUUUUGAAAGGAUAUUCUAGGAUGCGUAUUAAAAUUCAAUAUGAACCUUUACUUCAGUGCAUGUGGAUUCCAUGAUUGGGUCUUCGAUAGACCUUUAUCCAACUAAUUAAUUGAAAUAAUAAAUAUAUCCAGUGGAUUAAUCUACAAAUGCAGUCGGUACUUGUUACCUGGUUCUAUGGGAUGUAGACACUUGGAGAUUCUGCUGCACAACCUUUAGCAACCCAAAAAUUCACUUUUUGUUCUUUUAUUCCUGAAAUGAGCAUGUUUCUAUGCCCUGCAUUGUCCUUGCUAGUUUUAAUGUUUCUGUGGUGGGAUACUCUCUUUCCCUCGCUCGCACAAAAGUUAUGAUGCUUUCUGCCAUUUUCCAGGAUGGUGUACCAAGGACAGCAUAUAAAGGAGUAGUUGUCUUCCGGUAUCCACCACCAAGACGUGUGUUUCUAGUGGGUCCGAAAUCUUUUGAGCUGCUUGGGAUCAAAGGUGUUUGAUGCUUUGAGGUCAGGUUUCACGGCGCUGGUAAAUCAUGGUGCCAGAAUUCGGCUUCCUCUUUCCUCCCCAACCCCUAGGUACAUUAUUAAAGGAAUCGAUUGGGCAUCACAAAUUCACAAUCAGAGCUUAAGAUUGCAAAUUCAGGUCAUCAGCCAGGUUUAACCCACUGCUGUUUGCUGAUGAACACAAGUGUAGAGGUUGGAGGAUUCCAUUAGCAACUUUGAUUUAGGAGGGAGAGGGAGGAUUCUUUUGAAUGACGAUGUUCAGUCUAUACCCAUUAAACGGCCGAACCAAGGCUUCAUUAAAAGAGUUUGCCAUAGGUCAUACUAGCUACUUUAGCACUUAAUAGCAGGUAAGCUGACAACUUUUUUGGCUCCCAAAGGUGGUUUUCUUCUGUCUAGACCGCCCCAAAAAAGGUGUGCUUUUCUUCUGUUGUACUAAGGAACAUUUAUGUUUUUUCUCGCCAUUUUCCCCUCGUGUUUUCAUUUCUCUUUCUCCCCUGUUUGGUUGGGUAGGAGCAGGCAGGACUAAUAUGUAGGAGAACCUCUGUAUACAAACAUGUCGUAUCGAAUGCUGCCAGAGGAACUUCUAGUUAAAUCUUGUGUUGUGGAUGUGACUUGUGAUGGUGUAUGUUUUCUCCUAUUACGGAAG
rnacentral:lncRNA from 1 species